rnacentral:rRNA from 1 species
GACGAACGCUGGCGGCGUGCUUAACACAUGCAAGUCGAGCGAGUGGAUUCCCUUCGGGGAUGAAGCUAGCGGCGGACGGGUGAGUAACACGUGGGCAACCUGCCUUAUAGAGGGGGAUAGCCUUCCGAAAGGAAGAUUAAUACCGCAUAACAUCAGAUUAUCGCAUGGUAGACUGAUCAAAGGAGCAAUCCGCUAUAAGAUGGACCCGCGUCGCAUUAGCUAGUUGGUGAGGUAACGGCUCACCAAGGCGACGAUGCGUAGCCGACCUGAGAGGGUGAUCGGCCACAUUGGGACUGAGACACGGCCCAGACUCCUACGGGAGGCAGCAGUGGGGAAUAUUGCACAAUGGGGGAAACCCUGAUGCAGCAACGCCGCGUGAGUGAUGAAGGCCUUCGGGUUGUAAAGCUCUUUGAUCAGGGACGAUAAUGACGGUACCUGAAGAACAAGCCCCGGCUAACUACGAGCCAGCAGCCGCCGUAAUAC